AUUGAACGCUGGCGGCAUGCUUUACACAUGCAAGUCGAACGGUAACAGGCCGCAAGGUGCUGACGAGUGGCGAACGGGUGAGUAAUGCAUCGGAACGUGCCCAGUCGUGGGGGAUAACUACUCGAAAGAGUAGCUAAUACCGCAUACGAUCUAUGGAUGAAAGCGGGGGACCGCAAGGCCUCGCGCGAUUGGAGCGGUCGAUGUCAGAUUAGGUAGUUGGUGGGGUAAAGGCUCACCAAGUCAACGAUCUGUAGCUGGUCUGAGAGGACGACCAGCCACACUGGGACUGAGACACGGCCCAGACUCCUACGGGAGGCAGCAGUGGGGAAUUUUGGACAAUGGGCGCAAGCCUGAUCCAGCAAUGCCGCGUGCAGGAAGAAGGCCUUCGGGUUGUAAACUGCUUUUGUACGGAACGAAACGGCUCUGGUUAAUACCCGGGGCUAAUGACGGUACCGUAAGAAUAAGCACCGGCUAACUACGUG
rnacentral:rRNA from 1 species